GAUGAAGAACGUAGCGAAAUGCGAUAAGUAAUGCGAAUUGCAGAAUCCGUGAGUCAUCGAAUCUUUGAACGCAGAUUGCGCUCUCUGGUAUUCCGGAGGGCAUGCCUGUUCGAGCGUCAUUAUCACCCCUCAAGCCCGGCUUGUUGUUGGAUGCAGCGCUUAUCCCGCUCCUCCCAAAGAUAAUGACGGCGUCUGCGACGACUCCUGUACACUGAGCUUUCGGGCACGUACACGGCUAGAAGUCCAGACCCGGUCGCCGUCCCCCCCGCGGGGACACCCAUUACCACAAGGUUGACCUCGGAUCAGGUAGGAAUACCCGCUGAACUUAAGCAUAUCAAUAAGCGGAGGA
rnacentral:misc_RNA from 1 species